AUACACGCAGGCUUACGCCUGCAUCACGUACGAUCACCGAAGUUAAGCAACGCCGAUCCUGAACAGUACUUAGAUGGGUGACUGCUUGGGAAUAUCAGGUGCUGUAAG